AUGAAAAAAACGUCUUUUAAGGUAAAAUUUUACAUCUUUUGUUUUACAUCUCCAAAUUUGCAUCUUCUAUUAAAGAUGAUAUUAGAUAUUCCCUCAUCCAUCCACCUUUUUAAUGCACGGUUAGCUCUUCGGUUGAGUGCAUGGGCUUUCCUCACACGGCCUGUAGCCAUGCACAACAUGGUCGUCGUCGACCGGUCCAACCAUUGUGUUGCAGCUAUGUGCGUCACUAUGCUACCUUCUCCGUUGUGUAAAAAAAACAUCUGCGAUUUUCAGUGUUUUUUUUCAUUUUUUGAUUUCUUGUCCGAUUUCAUUUCUUUCUCAUGUUUAUUUUUCAAUUAA
rnacentral:rRNA from 1 species